rnacentral:rRNA from 1 species
CCCGCAGGCCACAAUGCAUGCGUCAACGAGCAUAUUACCUUGGCCGAGAGGGGUGGGUAAUCCUGUUAACAUGCCUCGUGAUCGGGAUUGGGGGAGCAAUUAUUUCCCUUGAACGAGGAAUUCCCAGUAAUCGCGGAUCAUCAAUCUGCAAUGAUUACGUCCCUGCCCUUUGUACACACCGCAAAA